rnacentral:lncRNA from 1 species
UGAACAGACCACCCAUUCUUGAUGGAACGAACUAUGAAUACUUGAAAGAUUAUAUGAUGGAUUUUAUCAAUCCAUGGACAACAAGGCUUGGAAAUCGAUGGUUAAGGGAUGAGAUCCACCGAUGACUAGAGAUAAAGAUGGUAAGAUUACUGAUGUGCUGAAAGCUGAGAAAGAAUGGGAUGAUGAAGAUGAUAAAUUAGCUCAG